GCCCUUGAGGCGUGGCUUCCGGAGCUAACGCGUUAAAUCGACCGCCUGGGGAGUACGGCCGCAAGGUUAAAACUCAAAUGAAUUGACGGGGGCCCGCACAAGCGGUGGAGCAUGUGGUUUAAUUCGAUGCAACGCGAAGAACCUUACCUGGUCUUGACAUCCACAGAACUUUCCAGAGAUGGAUUGGUGCCUUCGGGAACUGUGAGACAGGUGCUGCAUGGCUGUCGUCAGCUCGUGUUGUGAAAUGUUGGGUUAAGUCCCGCAACGAGCGCAACCC
rnacentral:rRNA from 1 species